CGGCUGCUGAGAGGUUCGCAAGUAGAUGGAUUGGAGCGCUUCUACUUCCCCUUCGUCUGUGAUUUUUACCUUAGUGACAACUGCUACGUUCGCAUGAAUAAUGACCCUGUCUUACCAAGCUCUUAAGCAAAGCAGUAGAGAUGCCAUUCCUGGCCCCUUCUGAGUAUAAAGGCUGUCUAUAUUGGUAGCCUGGAUGGCCCAAGCCAGUGAUCAGUGUCUGAGGGACCACUUCUAUGCCCAUGGUGAGAUUAAGUCCAUCAGGAUGGUGCUCCAGAGCAUGCACUUUAUGACAUACAAAAGAAGGGAGGCUGCAGAAGAGGUGUCUAACAAGCUGGCUUGCCUUCACCUGAAAUUGAUGUGAACGAGGCCUGUGAGGACAAAGGAGGAUGAAGAAAGCCGGUGCAGCUAUGUGGAGUCUAUUGUUCAGAGCAUUUGCCAUCAAUAUUUGACUCCACAUGAGCCAGCUGCACUGACUUCUCAGACCUGAAUAGUGGAUCCUUCAUUGAUCAAAUCAUGCAGAUCCUGGAAGUUCAAAAAAUUCGAAUUAUCCAGAAUUAAGUUUUCCUGUGGUUGGGCAAUGACUGAAGAAGCUUCAGUUGGUUGCCGUGCUGUGUACAUUGCUAACUGAGCUUG